rnacentral:rRNA from 1 species
GAGACAGCAGUCGCCGCGGUAAUACGUAGGUGGCAAGCGUUGUCCGGAAUUAUUGGGCGUAAAGGGCUCGCAGGCGGUUUCUUAAGUCUGAUGUGAAAGCCCCCGGCUCAACCGGGGAGGGUCAUUGGAAACUGGGAAACUUGAGUGCAGAAGAGGAGAGUGGAAUUCCACGUGUAGCGGUGAAAUGCGUAGAGAUGUGGAGGAACGCCAGUGGCGAAGGCGACUCUCUGGUCUGUAACUGACGCUGAGGAGCGAAAGCGUGGGGAGCGAACAGGAUUAGAUACCCCUGUAGUCCCUGUCUCUUAUAC